AUUUGAAUUUUUAUGAACAGAUGUAGGAGACAGAAGAAAAGGCAGAUGAAGGUGAUCAUCAGAACAUUGGGCUGAGUGCUAAAGACGACACGUAUGCAGCUCUCGACCCUGCAGGCCGGAAAUCUGAUGAUGUUUAUCACACACUUGCAGUUUCUCAUGCCAGUCCUCCUGAUGACACGCUCACUUCUGACUACUGCAAUAAGGAAACUUUGAGAAACAUAAUGAAGAAAAUGAGUCCUGAAACAGCUGAUGAAUAGAAAAAACUAACUGAACUCCUCACUCAAGUGGAGAAGCUGAAUCACUUCUUUACACCAGCAAAUAAUAUAUAUAUUUUUUUCAUUCCAAUCUAGUGUGUGUGUGUGUGUGUGUGUGUGUGUGUGUGUGUGUGUGUGUGUGUGUGUUUGCUAUUUUAAGUGCUAGUUUAAUAUGUUGACAUGGAGUUACUGUUACCACCUUAAAAUACUUGCUAAACUAAUCUGAAUUACUCCAAAACAAAUCUAUGAUAAACUCUUAAGUUCUGCUCUCCUGCAUUUGUCUCAGGUGAUGUUAGUGACUACAUGAAGAACAGAUAUGAUCUUUAAAGUGCCAUUAGAGCUGCCAAAAUGCAACUCAGACUGGAGUGUCACUACACCACCACUGACCCCUGGCACAUGUAGCAGGAAUUACAGAAUAUCAGUCUUUCAAUGCAGAUAGUGUGUGUUUUGUUAGCAACAUGCUAGUCAUGUAUAACUUUCUCUAAACUGUAAACUGCAGG